AAUAGAUUUUUUUUUAGGGGGGGGGGGGGGGGGGGGCUAGGAUGAAAUUUGAAAAAAAUAGGCAGGACAGGAGUUUUGAGUAAAAAAAAAGGCAGGAUGUGACACUUGCAAAAAGUCAGGACGACAAUUUAGGUAAAAACAAGUCAGGAUAAACUAAAAAAAAAAGGUGAAAAAUAAAAAGGCAGGACAGAGAUUACAGCUAAAAAAAGUGCAGGACAAAAUUUUUCAUCCUAGCCCCCCCCCCCCCCCCCCCCCCCCCCCCCCCAUAAAA
rnacentral:sRNA from 1 species